UCUCAGCAUUCUUCGUCUCGCUGGUCCAGGUCAGUCGAGAUCCAGGUUUAAGAAGACGCUUUGAUUUUCACAUUUUUAACACAAUAAUUAAAAGCAAGAGCUAAGAAAUGCGUCUUAAAAAUCCGCUGCCGCAACGAGGAAUCUACAAUGUGAUGAUGUCCGGGGACUCACCAGGACUGGACUCGCGAUCGAUACCGGCAAGUUACGAUUUACCUGACGACGCACGUCCUGGAGAAUUACCACCGGUUAUUCCGUUAAGUUCAACCGGUAAAUUAAGUCACUCAAACCAUGACACCGACAACGAGACCAUUGAAGAAGUAACGACAAUUGUGAAAAAAACGCUGCCCAGUCCGGAACCACGGCCGAAAAUCUACCAGAAAAAUGGCAUCGACAGUGAUAACAAUAAUAAAUUAAAAUUGGAGAACAAAUUUGCUGAAAAUAAUAAAGAAGACAACGAUGCAUGCGUUAAUUGUCUUUACUAUACUCAACAGUUUUGCGAGUGUGUAAUACUAUGAGCGGUAAAUUGUAAAUUGUAUGUUAUAUUUUACUAUAUUAUGUAUUAAAUAUCUAAUGAGUAAUUAUUAUUAUUAUUAUUAUUAUUUUG
rnacentral:misc_RNA from 1 species